rnacentral:tRNA from 1 species
GGGUAGAUAGCUCAGUGAUAGAGUGCAUGCCUAGCAUGUAUUAGGUCCUGGGUUCAAUCCUCAGUACCUCCA